GAACCGUGCGAACGUUGUUCGGAAUCACUGGGCUUAAAGGGCGCGUAGGCGGCCUGCCAAGUCAGGGGUGAAAUCUUUCGGCUCAACCGGAAAAGUGCCUUUGAUACUGGCAGGCUUGAGGGAGGUAGGGGCAUGUGGAACUGGUGGUGGAGCGGUGAAAUGCGUUGAUAUCACUAGGAACGCCGGUGGCGAAAGCGACGUGCUGGCCCUCUUCUGACGCUGAGGCGCGAAAGCCAGGGUAGCGAACGGGGGAUUAGAUACCCCGGUAGUCCUGGCCCUAAACGAUGGGUACUAGGUAGUGGACUUAACAUGGGUUCACUGCCGAAGCAAAAGUGUUAAGAACCCCGCCUGGGGAGUAUGGUCGCAAGGCUG
rnacentral:rRNA from 1 species